CUUUAAUCCAGCAUGGGCAUUUUGGACAAUCUCAAAGGCUCUGCUAAGCUAAAAACAUGUGUGAAAAAAAGUUCGCGCAAUCUCUGGCUUCUGUCUGUGUCUAUAUAAGACAGCUACAGUGCUUUCAGAAACCUUGCAGACUCACAGAUUGGGCAGGACAUUUGGAGUAUUCUUCAGUUCAGGUCCCUCCAAUUCCCACCAUGAUCUCUUGGCCAACCAUCUACCAUGUUCUUGAAGAAACGGUUCCCCUGUAUGUAGCUAUGAUAGUGGCCUACCUAUCCAUACAAUGGUGGAAGCUGUUCACGCCAGAGCAGUGCUCCGGUAUCAACAAGUUCGUGGCGAAGUUUUCCAUCCCUUUGCUCUCUUUCCAGAUCCUCUCUACAAACAAUCCUUACAGCAUGAACCUGAAGCUCAUAUUCUCAGAUGUCCUACAGAAAUCGCUCUCCUUGCUGGGGUUUGCAGUUGCCUCUAGGGUGUGCUGCGAGGAGAAGUUUGAUUGGCUGAUUACAGGUUUUUCUCUAUCAACGCUGCCAAAUACCUUGAUUGUUGGAAUCCCAUUGCUCAAAGGAAUGUAUGGCGAUGAAGCUGUGAAGCUGCUAAGCCAGAUAGUUGCCUUGCAAAGCCUGAUUUGGUACACACUUCUGUUGUUUCUGUUUGAGUUUCGGGCUGCUAGAGGAAUGGCUAUCACAACAUCAUCUGAAGCUAUAGAUGAAGCAGAAUCAGGUACUCCAGGACCUAUGCAGCAAGGACACGAAGAGGGGCAAGCGAAAGGAGUCUCGGCAAGAUGUUAUGGUGCCUUCCACUUCUUACUGGUGGUCAGUAGGAAGCUGGUGACAAAUCCCAACAUGUAUGCAAGCCUAGCCGGCCUGAUCUGGGCUCUGAUCAGCUUCAGGUGGCGAAUACAGUUACCAUCGAUCGUCAACAACUCCAUAAGAAUACUUUCAGAUGGAGGGCUAGGGAUGGCGAUGUUCAGCUUAGGUGUCUUCACUGCCCUGCAAACGAAAAUCGUGGCAUGUGGAACCAAAAGGAUGCUGCUAUCACUAGGCAUCAGGUUCUUCCUCGGGCCAGGCCUGAUGGUGAUCUCUUCCUAUCUAAUCGGUAUGCGUGGAACUUUGCUGAAGGUGGCCAUAAUACAGGCUCUGCGCAGGCAGCUCUACCUCAAGGAAUAGUGCCGUUUGUGUUUGCCAAAGAGUAUAACGUGCAUGCGGAUAUUCUGAGCACUGCGAUAAUUCUGGGAAUGAUGGUUGCGGUUCCGGUGGCCCUGGGUUAUUACUUCGUCAUGGAUCAUCCCAGACUCUAACCAUGUCCCAUUUGCGGAAAGGAUUAUCCUCUAGAUUCAUAUUGCGGGCGUGCUUGUGAUAUUAUAUCUUUGUGGAGGCUGUAUAUAUCUGGAUUCGUGUUAGUUGACCCAAGCUAAUGAUAACAACCAGCUUGGUUUCGGUGAAUUGUUCGGCCAGUACUUGAUUAGUAAAUAAUUGAUGCAAAAGAAGGAAGAAGGGGACGCCUGAUUUUUUUAAA